rnacentral:rRNA from 1 species
CCUACGGGAGGCAGCAGUAGGGAAUAUUGCUCAAUGGGGGAAACCCUGAAGCAGCAACGCCGCGUGGAGGAUGAAGGUUUUCGGAUUUUAAACUCCUUUUGUUAGAGAAGAUAAUGACGGUAUCUAACGAAUAAGCACCGGCUACCUCCGUGCCAGCAGCCGCGGUAAUACGGAGGGUGCAAGCGUUACUCGGAAUCACUGGGCGUAAAGAGCGCGUAGGCGGGAUAGCAAGUCAGAUGUGAAAGCCUAUGGCUUAACCAUAGAACUGCAUUUGAAACUGUUAUUCUAGAGUAUGGGAGAGGUAGGUGGAAUUCUUGGUGUAGGGGUAAAAUCCGUAGAGAUCAAGAGGAAUACUCAUUGCGAAGGCGACCUGCUAGAACAUAACUGACGCUGAUGCGCGAAAGCGUGGGGAGCAAACAGGAUUAGAUACCCUAGUAGUC